rnacentral:rRNA from 1 species
GACGAACGCUGGCGGCGUGCUUAACACAUGCCAGUCGAACGGAAAGGCCCUGCUUUUGUGGGGUGCUCGAGUGGCGAACGGGUGAGUAACACGUGAGUAACCUGCCCUUGACUUUGGGAUAACUUCAGGAAACUGGGGCUAAUACCUGAUAGGAGCUCCUGCUGCAUGGUGGGGGUUGGAAAGUUUCGGCGGUUGGGGAUGGACUCGCGGCUUAUCAGCUUGUUGGUGGGGUAGUGGCUUACCAAGGCUUUGACGGGUAGCCGGCCUGAGAGGGUGACCGGCCACAUUGGGACUGAGGUACGGCCCAGACUCCUACGGGAGGCAGCAGUGGGGAAUAUUGCACAAUGGGCGGAAGCCUGAUGCAGCAACGCCGCGUGCGGGAUGACGGCCUUCGGGUUGUAAACCGCUUUCGCCUGUGACGAAGCGUGAGUGACGGUAAUGGGUAAAGAAGCACCGGCUAACUACGUG